AUAGCACUUAAUCCUUCUUCUUUGAUUGGGAGUUUCAUAUGAGUAUAGCCUUCAUAAGACAAGUGUAAGAUUUAUCCCAAGUGCAAUGGAUCCAGAACUAUAUUAACCCCUUUCACCAAGGAUUUUACUAUUCCAUUGCAAUAACUCAAAUUUAAGUAAAAUUUUCUAACCAAAUCAACAUAAGUAUUUUUCUUUAAUAAACAGUAAAACUU
rnacentral:lncRNA from 1 species